AGUGUGAGUAGAGUGGCGGACGGGUGAGUAACGCGUGGGAAUCUACCCAGUAGUGGGGGACAACUACCGGAAACGGUAGCUAAUACCGCAUACGCCCUAUGGGGGAAAGGCUUCGGCCGCUAUUGGAUGAGCCCGCGUCAGAUUAGCUAGUUGGUAGGGUAAAGGCCUACCAAGGCAACGAUCUGUAGCUGGUCUGAGAGGACGAACAGCCACACUGGGACUGAGACACGGCCCAGACUCCUACGGGAGGCAGCAGUGGGGAAUAUUGGACAAUGGGCGAAAGCCUGAUCCAGCAAUGCCGCGUGUGUGAAGAAGGCCUGCGGGUUGUAAAGCACUUUCAGUUGGGAAGAUGAUGACGUUACCAACAGAAGAAGCACCGGCUAAAUCCGUGCCAGCAGCCGCGGUAAUACGGAUGGUGCGAGCGUUAAUCGGAAUUACUGGGCGUAAAGCGCGCGUAGGCGGCUAAGUCAGUCAGAAGUGAAAGCCCCGGGCUCAACCUGGGAAUUGCUUUUGAUACUGCUUAGCUAGAGUUUGGUAGAGGAUAGUGGAAUUCCAGGUGUAGCGGUGAAAUGCGUAGAUAUCUGGAGGAACAUCAGUGGCGAAGGCGACUGUCUGGACCAAAACUGACGCUGAGGUGCGAAAGCGUGGGUAGCAAACAGGAUUAGAUACCCUGGUAGAAGGGCG
rnacentral:rRNA from 1 species